rnacentral:rRNA from 1 species
GUGGGGAAUAUUGGACAAUGGGCGAAAGCCUGAUCCAGCCAUGCCGCGUGUGUGAAGAAGGUCUUCGGAUUGUAAAGCACUUUAAGUUGGGAGGAAGGGCAGUAAGUUAAUACCUUGCUGUUUUGGCGUUACCAACAGAAUAAGCACCGGCUAACUUCGUGCCAGCAGCCGCGGUAAUACGAAGGGUGCAAGCGUUAAUCGGAAUUACUGGGCGUAAAGCGCGCGUAGGUGGUUCAGCAAGUUGGAGGUGAAAUCCCCGGGCUCAACCUGGGAACUGCCUCCAAAACUACUGAGCUAGAGUACGGUAGAGGGUAGUGGAAUUUCCUGUGUAGCGGUGAAAUGCGUAGAUAUAGGAAGGAACACCAGUGGCGAAGGCGACUACCUGGACUGAUACUGACACUGAGGUGCGAAAGCGUGGGGAGCAAACAGGAUUAGAAACCCCAGUAGUCC